GGCAUGCCUAACACAUGCAAGUCGAGCGGUAACAGGNNCNAAAGCUUGCUUUUCUGCUGACGAGCGGCGGACGGCUGAGUAACGCGUGGGAAUUUGCCCCAAAGUGAGGGAUAACUGCCCGAAAGGGUAGCUAAUACCGCAUAUGGUCUUCGGAUUAAAGGAUUUAUCUGCUUUGGGAGAAGCCCGCGUUGGAUUAGGUAGUUGGUAGGGUAAUGGCCUACCAAGCCGACGAUCCAUAGCUGGUCUGAGAGGAUGAUCAGCCAGACUGGAACUGAGACACGGUCCAGACUCACUACGGGAGGCAGCAGUGAGGAAUCUUCCACAAUGGGCGAAAGCCUGAUGGAGCAACGCCGCGUGAAGGAUGAAGGNCCUUCGGGUUGUAAACUUCUUUUAUGAGUGAAGAAUAUGACGGUAACUCAUGAAUAAAGCCACCGGCUAACUACGUGCCAGCAGCCGCGGUCAUACGUANGGUGCAAGCAUUAUCCGGAGUGACUGGGCGUAAGGAGUUGCGUAGGCGGUUUAGUAAGUGAAUAGUGAAACCUGGUGGCUCAACCAUACAGACUAUUAUUCAAACUGCUAAACUCGAGAGUGGUAGAGGUAACUGGAAUUUCUAGUGUAGGAGUGAAAUCCGUAGAUAUUAGAAGGAACACCAAUGGCGUAGGCAGGUUACUGGACCAUUUCUGACGCUAAGGCACGAAAAGCGUGGGGAGCGAACGGGAUUAGAUACCCCGGUAGUCCACGCCGUAAACGAAUGGAUACUAGCUGUUGGAGGUAUCGACCCCUCCAGUAGCGAAGCUAACGCGUUAAGUAUCCCGCCUGUGGAGUACGGCCGCAAGGCU
rnacentral:rRNA from 1 species